CAGUCGCCGCGGGAAUACGUAGGUGGCAAGCGUUGUCCGGAAUUAUUGGGCGUAAAGGGCUCGCAGGCGGUUUCUCAAGUCUGAUGUGAAAGCCCCCGGCUCAACCGGGGAGGGUCAUUGGAAACUGGGAAACUUGAGUGCAGAAGAGGAGAGUGGAAUUCCACGUGUAGCGGUGAAAUGCGUAGAGAUGUGGAGGAACACCAGUGGCGAAGGCGACUCUCUGGUCUGUAACUGACGCUGAGGAGCGAAAGCGUGGGGAGCGAACAGGAUUAGAUACCCCUGUAGUCCCUGUCUCUUAUAC
rnacentral:rRNA from 1 species